AGAGAUUUUCAAAUCUUCCCAUUCUCCCUUUUGAGAUUUUUUCUCUCGUGAUUUUCAGCUGAUUUUUCAUUUAUUUCGGAAUUUUGGCUCAUCUAAUUCUAGGAUUCAGAGGAUCAUUUUUUCUACUUUCUCGAUUUUCCUUUUUAAUUUGUUUUUCUUUAUUUCAGCUUUUUUCUUUUCUUUUCUUUUCUUUUCUUUUUUUUUUCAAUUUUUUGGAAUUUCCGUAUCAUCUGAUAGUUAAAUUUGCACGAAUAGUUUUUUUUUUUUUUAAAUGAUAUUCAGCUAUUUUUGGAUUUAUUUUUGCAAUAUGAGCUCAUUUGACAGUUGAACGUGGAUGAUCAAAACAGAUCUAAGCUUUUUACCAGGGCAAAUGAUAUUUUAUUUAUUUAUUUAUUUGAUUUUUUGGUGAAUUUUCCAUUAUAGACAUCUCGAAAUGAUUUCUCAAAUGGAAGAUAAAAUCUCCUAUUUUUUCUAUUUAAAAUAAUUCCAGAAAAAUGAUUUUAUAGAGUUUGUGAUUUUCGUCUCCAUUCCUUCCUUUCUUUUUCUGAAUAUGUUGGAUUUUCGGUACUGCGCAUCAGCAAACUUAUAUGGUUUGCUUAACAGCAGCAUUCUGUACACAUGAGGCCCAUUUCUCGGCGAUCCAAACCGUUGAUCUUAAUUUCCACUAUAUAAAUGGUUGUUGCCCUGAGAAUCAUUCCGGCUUGAUGAUCGUAACCUCUGCAUUUUUAUCAUUUUCCUCUUUGAAUGUGGACCGUUGCUGUAUAGCUUCCUAACCAUCCAUUUGGAAGACAACAAUCUAAGCGUUGGGAUACCUUCUAUUCUGUUUGGUGUCCAUGGCGUGCUAUAUCCACCGUGGUUAUAAUAGAACCGACGGUUUGGAUUAGUGCAACGUUUGCUGAUGAGCUUCACCGAUAAUUCCCCCCCUUUUUUUUUGUGAAAUUUUGGUCUAUAGUGCUUUUAAAAAUCAGAUCCGUUCAAUUUAGAAAAUUUCAGGUCUGUAUUACUUUGAAAGAUUAGAUUCGUUCACUUUGGUGUCGAAUUCAGCAGGAAUUCUUGUCGAGAGUACCUUCAGAUUGCUUAACUGAUUCUUGAGGCAGUUUGCAGCGAUGGAAGAACCAUAGAUGCAUGAAUGAUUUCUGCAAUUGAUAUGCGGUGUUUCUCCUGUUGGUCAUCCCCUUGCAUGAUUAAGGCUUCACUAGGUACGUUUGUUCAAAAUCGUGUUGUGAAUUACUCAGACAAGUAUAUCAGUUCAUCUCUCCUGGUGGUGCUCUUAAGAACAUCUAUAAUACAUUUCAGUAGAAGUAAUCAUAGUGUAUGGAUUGUUUGUGCGGGAGGAGGAGCAAGCUUUGGGAGCUGGGUAGGCAAGGAGGAGGAGGCCCAUUGAACACUUGGAGGACUCCAUGGUAGAUACUGAGGGGUAGCCUGCCUUGGUGGCGGAGCAAAUGCUUGGCUGGUGAAAGGGAAAGUAGAUAUCUGCGGCUGCUGGAGGACGAAUUGAACCUUAUGUCCAACACAAAGAAAGUUCCCAAGCUGUUGGGAGUCCUUUCCGACCAUGGAAAGUGACUGCAAGUCGAACAACACCAAAAUGCAAAUGAGUGUAUCCUUUUCUUUUCCACGCAGAUAAAUUUUCUUGAUGCAAGUGAAGAGUGAUGAACUCUUCAAGCUGGUUGGCAUGUAUCGGUGCCUGAUUGAAUUUGGAAAGACAGGGCAUGUUCUCGGAUAGAGUUUUGCUGUUUGGUGUUUGAAUUUGGCUGUGAUGGAGGUUUAUUUUUUUGGAAAAACUGUUAGGAAUUUGAGACUGGGGAUUGGGUUGCUGGGACCUUGUUGUCUACGUACUCUAUUUCAUACAGAUAAUCAUGCUUAUUACCAGAAUAAGACGCAAGAGGGAGUGUUUUUGAAGAACUCAUAUUUUUGGUGAAACAUGUAGGAUGUAUGUUUUGGAACAGGUAACUUUAGCAAACUCUACUUAUUUUGGUGCCA